rnacentral:misc_RNA from 1 species
GAUGAAGAACGCAGCGAAAUGCGAUAAGUAAUGUGAAUUGCAGAAUUCAGUGAAUCAUCGAGUCUUUGAACGCACAUUGCGCCCCCUGGUAUUCCGGGGGGCAUGCCUGUCCGAGCGUCAUUGCCGCCCUCAAGCACGGCUUGUGUGUUGGGCCCCCGCCCCCCGACUUCGGGGGGCGGGCCCGAAAGGCAGCGGCGGCACCGCGUCCGGUCCUCGAGCGUAUGGGGCUUCGUCACCCGCUCUGUAGGCCCGGCCGGCGCCCGCCGGCGACCCCAAUCAAUCUUUCCAGGUUGACCUCGGAUCAGGUAGGGAUACCCGCUGAACUUAAGCAUAUCAAUAAGCGGAGGA